UAAAUUUAGAGUUUGAUCCUGGCUCAGGACGAACGCUGGCGGCGUGCUUAACACAUGCAAGUCGAGCGAUGAAGCUUCCUUCGGGAAGUGGAUUAGCGGCGGACGGGUGAGUAACACGUGGGUAACCUGCCUCAAAGUGGGGGAUAGCCUUCCGAAAGGAAGAUUAAUACCGCAUAAUAUAAGAGAAUCGCAUGAUUUUUUUAUCAAAGAUUUAUUGCUUUGAGAUGGACCCGCGGCGCAUUAGCUAGUUGGUAAGGUAACGGCUUACCAAGGCAACGAUGCGUAGCCGACCUGAGAGGGUGAUCGGCCACAUUGGAACUGAGACACGGUCCAGACUCCUACGGGAGGCAGCAGUGGGGAAUAUUGCGCAAUGGGGGAAACCCUGACGCAGCAACGCCGCGUGGGUGAUGAAGGUCUUCGGAUUGUAAAGCCCUGUUUUCUAGGACGAUAAUGACGGUACUAGAGGAGGAAGCCACGGCUAACUACGUGCCAGCAGCCGCGGUAAUACGUAGGUGGCGAGCGUUGUCCGGAUUUACUGGGCGUAAAGGGUGCGUAGGCGGAUGUUUAAGUGGGAUGUGAAAUCCCCGGGCUUAACCUGGGGGCUGCAUUCCAAACUGGAUAUCUAGAGUGCAGGAGAGGAAAGCGGAAUUCCUAGUGUAGCGGUGAAAUGCGUAGAGAUUAGGAAGAACACCAGUGGCGAAGGCGGCUUUCUGGACUGUAACUGACGCUGAGGCACGAAAGCGUGGGUAGCAAACAGGAUUAGAUACCCUGGUAGUCCACGCCGUAAACGAUGGAUACUAGGUGUAGGGGGUAUCAACUCCCCCUGUGCCGCAGUUAACACAAUAAGUAUCCCGCCUGGGGAGUACGGUCGCAAGAUUAAAACUCAAAGGAAUUGACGGGGGCCCGCACAAGCAGCGGAGCAUGUGGUUUAAUUCGAAGCAACGCGAAGAACCUUACCUGGACUUGACAUCCCUUGCAUAGCCUAGAGAUAGGUGAAGCCCUUCGGGGCAAGGAGACAGGUGGUGCAUGGUUGUCGUCAGCUCGUGUCGUGAGAUGUUAGGUUAAGUCCUGCAACGAGCGCAACCCUUGUUAUUAGUUGCUACCAUUAAGUUGAGCACUCUAAUGAGACUGCCUGGGUAACCAGGAGGAAGGUGGGGAUGACGUCAAAUCAUCAUGCCCCUUAUGUCCAGGGCUACACACGUGCUACAAUGGUAGGUACAAUAAGACGCAAGACCGUGAGGUGGAGCAAAACUUAUAAAACCUAUCUCAGUUCGGAUUGUAGGCUGCAACUCGCCUACAUGAAGCUGGAGUUGCUAGUAAUCGCGAAUCAGAAUGUCGCGGUGAAUACGUUCCCGGGCCUUGUACACACCGCCCGUCACACCAUGAGAGCUGGUAACACCCGAAGUCCGUGAGGUAACCGUAAGGAACCAGCGGCCGAAGGUGGGAUUAGUGAUUGGGGUGAAGUCGUAACAAGGUAGCCGUAGGAGAACCUGCGGCUGGAUCACCUCCUUU
rnacentral:rRNA from 1 species